rnacentral:lncRNA from 1 species
GUUAGGUAUAUUGAUUUGGUAUUGCUUGAAUGAGUUGAUAAAUUGAAUUAAUGUGUAUUUUGUUGUAAAGUUGUAUAUAUUUGUGGUACCAAUGAGGAUACAUUGGUUAGGCACAUAUUAGGUUGGUUUUGAUGUGUUUUUGACCCGAUUAAUGUCAUUUUGAAUUGGUAUUUUGAUUAGUAAUUAAGUUUCUUAAGGUCCAAGCAAACUUGAAAUGGUAAAC